UAUUUCUAACCACUGGAAUCUAAACAAACAAAAAAGAUAGUGAAAGUCAUUUUUUCUACUCCUCUCUCUAGCUUCUGUUUUUUUUUCCUCUCUCUCCUUGUUUUACUUUCAUACUCUCUCUUUCCUUCCACCAAUUUAGAUAAUAAUAUUAUUUUGCAUCACCAUGAAACUCUAUAUAUGAGUGAGGACCAACACUCUUCAAUUGCUGCCUCAAGAGUAAAGUCUAUUUUCAAUAAUAUUUUUUGAUUGUGAUAAUUUUUUAGACCUCUAAGAGUUUAGAAUCAUCCUGGGGUGAUUCUCAAACCAUGUUACUGUUGAUUUGUAGGAGAAUGUGUGGUGGACUAUGAUCCAAAGUUGACUUUAUGAGCUUACUCGACAGUUUAAAACUUUACCAUAAUCAGUCCAGAGAAUUUUGGUACUAAAAACCCUCUGAUUUGAUAUCAAGUUACUUUAUCAAUUCACCUCGAAUGGCAUCAAUUGAAAUUUGGACAAGGAAGAUAUGGAUAAUAUGCCAAAGAAGUGAUACUAUUGCUUAAACUACCAAAUUUGCGGACACUAGUAGUAGCACCAGAUGCAUCUAAUGGUUCAAACGAAACUAUCAAGUCCAUAGAAAGAAAAAUAUUUUAGUGGAGGAAACUCACUUUACCAUGAAUUAGGUACCAUCAAAAUUUUUAAAACAACUACUUCUAAAUAUAGAAUUUGUUGGGAAUAGUCUUCUUGAUAUAGCACAAGGAAUCCCUACUAUUUGAUAUAUGCCUUGGUCCUUAUUGCAUCAAGAUAUAUGACAAACCCACGAAGGAAUAUGGUAAAUGGUCAAACACCAACAAGGUUGAAGAAAAAGCAUCAUAUGGCAGCAUUGAGAGCUGUACUAGAACAAACCUAAAGGUCCAUACCUCAUCAUUUGUACGAAGCAUUCUUAACACACCAAUAAUAUGUUAUCGCAUGCUAGAAAACUAAUCCACGAGUCCAAGUGCUUAAAUUUUGUGACAAAAAUAUUUCUUUGUUUGAUUAGAUUAACUUGCAAUCAAUCAAGGAAUCUAGUGCAAAUUAGUCUCAAAGAUGAGUUUAACAUUGUCAUUGCAGAUGGAGUUUGAGUUUCAAACUUCUUCAAUGCAUCGAUAUCUGUAAUCAAGUAAAAUUUCUAGCUCAUACUAAAUCACCAACAUCAGAGCUUGAAUAAGGAAGAUAUGGCUGAAAACAAAAUUGAUGCUAAUGUUUCCAUUUUUGGCAAUAAAGACUAGGGUGUUGGUGUGAAACCAACAACAGUGCUCUACAAUCAAUUGCGAUUAUUGUUAGUUUGAAAUUUGCUACUUUACAAGUCCUAUUUAGCCUAGGAGUAAACUCAUGCACCCUAUUAGCCAUCAAUAUAGGUUCUAAUGGCGACAUAAGUGCAUCAAAUGGUCCAGAGUUCUAUAAGCUUCUUUAAGGUAUGAGAUUGCUUAUAGAAGGUCACUUUUUUUUAGUGGUAUGAGGUUGUGUUGUCGAUUCAAUUAGUGAGAAGAAAGGAUUUUCUUUUCUUUCAUUCAUGUUGCCCCCUUAUGCAGCCU
rnacentral:lncRNA from 1 species